CUCCUUAACUCGAUCAUUUUAAUUAUACUUGGAGAAGAGUACAAGUUAUGAAGCUCCUCAUUAUGCAGUUGCUUUGUGAGACUACAUAUUCUAAUAUAAGGCAGUGACUGAAGUUAGCUCCAUCUGAUCGAUGUAACAACCUGGUGAUCUAUAGAUCUAUAGUGUACCUGACAACGGCCAGAGUGUGAAAACUCAUUAAAUCCGAGUGAUCCCAAGGAAUAGUAGAGAAUAUGCAGGCAACUAAGCUAUCGAAACGAAAAUCAGUGGUAUGAAGUGUAAGCCUCUUGUAUAGAUGACACUUAAUACCUUUGAGACAAGAACUUGUAUUGAUCCGUGGGACGUCGUAGCUUGAAUCUGAUGGAAUUAGUAAUUCGUGGAUGUUCAUAUUCUGUAUAACCAGAACUCCACAUGACAAUAUGGUCAUUUCGUGUUGACAUAAAAAGCAUUCAUAAAAUAAUUUGUUUUUACCGUGUUCUACGAAUACCAGCGCACUUAGAAAAAAAUAAUUCAGGAACCAAGGAUCAGCCUAUUUUCACAAAACUUUCAAUUAAGAGUGAACAUAUUUUUCAAAAAUAUGCAUGUUACUUCUCACACAAGAAGUUUUAAAAUGAUUCAUGUUUGAUGUUUAUGGUUGUAAUACAAAUAAUUUCAGGUAGCAGCCUCACAUGGUCAGUCAAACACUCAACAAUAUAAGAUCUAACGUUGGUAUACUGCUACAAGUAGUAUACAGUAUUUCUGGACAUUAUCCAUCAUCUUGUUGAGCUCUGUCUGUUGGACAUAUUGGACCCAACUGGGUAGGUUGUGUUUUCAAAAAGAAACUAGACGAUGGAUAAUGUCGAAAAAUAUAAUACUUGUGACGAACACUAUUUUGAUAGCAUUGACUUUAGUAGGGCAUCGCAGCUCAUUUGAGAACCAGUCAAUUUAUACUACUACUACAGGAAUAGCUUUACUUUUUUACUUUUACUUUCAAACUUCAUGAAAGGCAUUCUAUCUGUUAAUUGACAUCAGUUAGCUGAUUGAAAUUGACACCUAGUUUGCUUCCAAAAUUGUUGAAGUGGGUCCAUGUAAUAGUCAUAUUUUGCUCUAAAGUUUCUCUACUUCUGAAGUUAGAUCACUGAUCUACAUGCACAUUCCCCAACAUAGCCAUAUCUCCAAGUAAUGCUUGGGCCAAGCAGUUAGAUUACUUCUGAUAACUGAAGUACCAAGAGAAUUCAUACCAGCAGUAACACAUUUAUUCAGAUUCCUUUAUUUAAUCAGUAUGUGUUAGUAGGCAGUUAAGCUUAUGGACCAAUAAUUGUUGGUAGCUGUUUCUUCUAAUGGACCUAACAGAGUAUAUAUGUCUCCAUCCACUUUACCUGUGGCUGGAAACAGAUCCAGUUUCUGAAACGUGUUCUUCAAGAUACUGGAUGACGGGCAUAGUCCAGGUAUCCAGUUAUCCUGAGAGCUGUACACCAUCAUCAGAACCCUCUAGAAUCUCAUAAUAUCUUCCCUGUCUGUUACACAGGGUUCCCAUCCCACUAGUAUUUGGUAGGACAGCAGUGAUACAAUACAAUCAGACUUUUCACCUGAUUGUUGAAAUUCCUAAUGAUUAUGAUUUGCAAGAGAGAUAAUUUAAUGAAUAUGUUGUGUCAGAAUAUGCUGUAAGUUUGUGCAGUUGUAAAUGGAGUGGUCCAGAUUCGGAAGCAUCAGGUUUCUCAUGAUUGAGACUGUGAUGUGAAACAAACUGAAAUAAAUGCUGAAAGACUGAAAGAAUAUUAUAUCAGAAAUGAAGGUCUUUGAAAAGAUAACAGUUUACUUAAUAUGAAUUAUUGUCUUUUGUCUAGCAGACCAUUUGAAUCAUACACGCUUGUGUAUGGUGUGAGACUUUAUAUAAGCCUUCUGAAAUAUGUAUAUAUAUUUCUUGUAUUUUGAGUAAUGAAUCUCAGUUUGGUUUCAGGAUAGAGGGCUACUAUUUUGCUGUUAAACAAGCUCUUCAGCAGCUUGUUACAGAGGAUAUUUUAGUAAUUUGCUGCCUCAGAUAUGGACAUUACAAUUUAGAGGCUAGCCAUGCCAGUUUCUAACAAAGGAAAAAUUGUACUGUAGAGAAGAUCGUAUCAGAUUAUUAAAUGAUGUUGGUCAUGUAAAGUCUAAGGUAUGCAUCAUUUUGACAAGUCUUUGCUGCCAGGUAUUGUGGAUGUGAUAAACAAAAUAUCAUUAUGUACAGCUGAAUCAUGUAUUGUGAUUCUUUUAUGUAGGUGGAUAAAAGUCAAGAGCAGAUAUGUUCAAAUCACAUCAAACUUGGAAUGAAGUUGUGUACUGUAGAUGUACAGGGUGUUCACGGCUCUGCACUUCACCGCAACCGACAUGCCACCGGCUGCAAAGCGCACUCAAAUUUUGCCGAUGACUCAGCUUGCUGAUAUCAUUUUGAAUGAAGGGAAUUUCUUACCUUUGUUCACCGAUCGCAGGAGGUGUUGCAAAUGCUGUCCCUCUACACGUAGACAGAAGACUGGCAGAAGAGGUUCUGAUUUACCCUCUGGAGAUGCUGUGCAGGAACAUUUGAAAUUUCCUUAUGAAUGUUUCCAUUCAGUUCUUCUGUUCGAGGGUAACUGCUAUAAACUUUGUCCUUCAAAUGACCCCAGAAGAAAAAAUGAGAUUGAUUAAGAUCAGGCGACUGUGCUGGCCAAAUAUCAGUGCUGAUAGUUCUGUCCCCGUAAACAUCAGACAGAGCCUGCAUAGAUGUGUUCUUAGUGUGUGCGGUAGCUGAGUCUUGCCAUAGAUUCUGUCUUCUUCUGUUAACUCUGAAAAGAACUGGCCAAGAAUAUCUCUCAUAAUUAAUUGUUUCGUUAAAAGUCACAGUUUCAGCAAUCCUCCUUGCACUUAUAGCACACAAGACACCAUCUCUAACUGUGUGGAGCGAGGCCUCAUGGGUUAGAUGUGGAUCCUGUGAACUCCAGUAGCGAUUAUUUUGCAUAUUUAUGUAUCCCUGCAAGUGAAACCUUGCUUCAUUAGAGAGACAUGUAAACUGUGGAUCAGUCUCGCCUUCAGCGACAGACUGUGGAAACCAACUGCAAAAAUGAACCCUGCUAGCUGAAUCACGUGGCUGCAAGUUGUGGAUUGCUGUUGUUUUAUAAGGUGUAAGCUUCAAUGCACUAGACUUUGAUACUCCUAUCUCUUGAGCUGGAUGUUUCAGUGUAUGUUCAAGUUUGGCCCCUGUGUCCAAACUUCUCCUCAGUAAGCACUCGAAGCUUAUGUUUUGUUUCCUUGUCUAUUAAGAGUCCUGUUGCUCUAAGUUUGUUCUCCAAAUUAUGAAUUGUUUGUCUGCUGGGAACUCUUUCAUCACAAAAUUUUCACCGACAUUUUCCAGCAGAUCUGUAUUUCACGUAGGUGUCAUGUAGAAAUACGCAUGCCACACUGCUGGCUGACUGACUGUUAACUGGGAGCAAAUGGCUCAUGGCACAGAUGACUACUGUCAGCUGCUCACAAAUCACAAACACACUCCCAUAAAUGAACUGCACUGCCUGCCAUGUAACAUAAUACUGUGUAGAGGUCUGCAAGUUAAUUUCAUUAAGUUCAUUAAGUUAAGUUCAUUCCAAACGUUUUCUGCCAUCAAGCAUGCUGACAUAUCGGCGGAAAUCACAUUUGUUUACAACCGGAUAUGCACUGGCAGCGGUGAGGUGCAGAGCUGUGAAUGUUUCUAGUUACUAAAAAUAUUCUCUGUACAUGCAAAUCAGUAUAUCCAGCAUGUCCAAUGACCGCUAUACUUCCUGCCCCUUUACGUGUGUUUGGAAUUUGAAAAUCAUUGGCAUAGCUUUUUUAUAUUUGUCAGAAUUGAUGGGUUCAGGUUUAGAUGCUGGCAGAUGAGACUCAUAAAUUCACUAUUUGAGUGCAUUUACUACUGCUCAACUGGGGGCCAGUGGCCAUAAAAUAAGACACUGAACCUACCUUGGGUCCUGAACAUAUAUACCAGUUAAAUUGUGAGUGGUUCUUUGUUGUUGGAGUGGAAUCAGAUGAGCCGCUUAUACCAACUGCUCAUGAUAGAAGAGUACGGAGCAUUGGCAGAAUGAUAAUUGAUAAGGGAAAAUUGGUCAGAGAAGACCUACUCCAGUAGGUUGUAAAUAAAAAUAAAGUAUUUGUUUCCCCACACUAAGAGAUAAAAAUGCUGCUCAUCUGUCUAGAAUGACAGAGAAUAUUGAUUUUUGGUAACAGAUUUGAUUAUAGGUGGCAGGAGUGCAGACUUCUGUUCUUGUAGUGAUUCCAGUGAGAUUGGCCACAAGCCAAGUACAUAACCAUUCCUUCUCUUGUGAAUAGGUGGAGUAGUUGUACAUUGGUGUCACAGCAGAUUGCUAAUGAGAAUGUUUUCAGACUGUGAUGUUUACAUGCCAUUAUUCUGUGCGGAGACCUCUGUACUUUCAGGGUCAUGCAGAGAGGGAGAAGCUGCUGAAUUAGAGGAGUUCCUUGCAUGACAACAGGCGAAAAGAAGGCGGAUGAAUGAGAAGCCUCUGGAUGGAAAGUCGGGCACAACCACCUGGAAAGAGUGCUCUGAUGACGACGACAAAGAUAUUCUGGUUCUGGACAUGGACGAGGAACUCUUAGAAGAAAUGGAUUCAUUAUUGAGGGAAAUGAAAUUGUGAUUAUAGUUUGACGUAGUCUGUUUUGAUUAUUUUAAGUCAAUAAAUCUAUAGUUUUUGUUUAAUGAAUGUAUUUAUUCUAUUCUGAUUAUUUUAAAUUAAUAAAUCCAUAAUUGUUAUGUAAUCAGUGUAUUGUAUUAUGGUUGUUUUAAAUUAAUAAAUCUAUAAUUGUUAUAUAAAAAGAAACCAUGAGUCCAUUAUUUUAUUAGAACACUCAGAUUUGUCACUGAAUGAUUAAGAAAAAUGACAACCAUAUGCUUAAUUAGUUAAGCACUAUGCCAUAGACACAUAGGGGGCAUGGAGGUGGAUUUCUGCCAUUCUUGACUAUUUCACUAGAUGGAGGUGAGUGGUCACCUUCACUCCCCUCCUGAUUUAUCCCCAGUACAGACUGGAUAGGCGGCCAAGAUGUGGGCUUUGAAGACUGUUGCUUAUCAGAAUGAGAAUUGUUACAUACACAGAACCUCUGUGUUUCACUGGCAGCAUUGCUAAGUAGAAUUUUGAAAGCUGCUGCUCAUUUGUCUGCUUCAGCAAUUAAAUGAUUAUUUGAAAUGCAUUCACGCUGUAAGAUGUGGUUAUGAUGGUCACAUGUAUGGACUGUGUGUUGUUUAUUAUGCAGAGGUAGAUUCAUUUUUGGCACAAAAUGGCUUUAUUUUAUUUUGGCUAAACUGAUCAAGAAAGAGAUAGAGAUUUUUUCCUGGAGUUUGUUUAACUUUUCUGUUUUUAAUUAGUUAAGCCCUGCACCUUGAAAACAUGCUGGAUAGCAGAUGAGUUGUCAGCUUCAUGCCCUGGCUACUUUAACACCAGGAACAGAGCUCCAGUACCCAUUGGAUAGGAUGCUGGGUGGGUGCCACAGCUGGUCUGGACAUUGCAGCAGAGAAACAUUCCUUGCCCCAGUCGGGAACCAACUGUGAUUAGUUGCCAUAAGGUGUUGUUCCGACUGCGUUUCUUUUAGCGUUCUCUUCUUAAUGUUAUAAUGAUUUGAACUAUCAGAUAUGAACCUUCAUAGAUUUCCAUAAUUUGCAACAAGUGUGGUUGAAGCAGAUGGCAUUAGUAAAGAGGUUAUGAAAACGUGAGAACAAAACAAACUUUUUAAAUGAAUACGGACACGCUGAUUACAAAUCUGGACAGAUACACUUUUUAUAUAAUUACAGAAUUUCAGUAUAGACUUUUGAAUGGAAGCAGCCUAUUUUAUACAAAAGUAUUUCUUUUCACUACAUGUAGAUGCAGCCUUUGAGAGCAGACUGUUGGAGUUUGUUCAUCUUUAUGUGUUAGAAAAAAAUAUGCACUUAACAAUACAAGAAGUGUUUAAGUAUUUCCACAUUGCAUUUACACCCCUUUGGAGCCUAGUUUCUUGAAAACAUUUGUAAUAACACAGAUAUUAUCACAUGUUAGGGUUGUGACUGUUAGACGGGGUUUUGAGUGGACGAUUGGCUUUAUUGCACUU